CUAUAAUCCAUAUUACGCCUGCCCUCAUGAUCAAUAUUAUCAAAUCAAAUUGGUAAAAAACGUCUUUUGUGGAAUUCGAAAAGUAAAUUGUUAUGACUGAUUCGUAAACUGAUAGGGAUUUCAAUACAAUAAACCAACAACAGUUGAAAAUAUCUUUCAUCUAUAAGUGGUCCUUGGGGACAAUGCAGACUGUGUGUGAGUUGACAGGUCUUACAAGGCCGCAGAUUAUUAUGAUUCUCGUAUUUCUCCAAAUGAAUCAAUAUAGUAACUAAUACGUAUACUAUAGUACUUUAAAUCGGUCAAGAUAUUCAACAAAUAUAUCAAUGACACACUCGAAAUAUACAUUUAAAAUGCUGUAAAUACUUUCAAACUUCAUUUCUUGUACAAGCCAAUUGAUAUUUCAAAUAGUAGAUUCAUUUAGCCUCGGGGAAA
rnacentral:lncRNA from 1 species